UACAGAGGAUGCAGGCGUUAUCCGGAAUGAUUGGGCGUAAAGCGUCUGUAGGUGGCUUUUUAAGUCCGCCGUCAAAUCCCAGGGCUCAACUCUGGACAGGCGGUGGAGACUACCAAGCUGGAGUACGGUAGGGGCAGAGGGAAUUUCCGGUGGAGCGGUGAAAUGCGUAGAGAUCGGAAAGAACACCAACGGCGAAAGCACUCUGCUGGGGCCGACACUGACACUGAGAGACGAAAAGCUAGGGGAGCGAAUGGG
rnacentral:rRNA from 1 species